GCCACUGGCCCUCGUAGCCGCUGCCGCCAACCUCGUCGCAGCGGCCGGCGCCGUGGCGCACACCGCCGCGCCACUGGCCUGCGUAGCGGCUGCCAUCCAGGUAAAACUGCGUGCCGGUGCCUUCGCGCCGACCACUCCUCCACUGGCCCUCGUAGGGUUGGCGCCGCCACAAGAGGGUGCCGCUGCCAGUGUUUGUCCAUGCGCCAGUACGGCCCUCGUGUUGGUCCACGAUAUGCACAAAGCGUCGCUCACCACGUGCGCGUGAUGUUGACAAGUUGCCGUCGUCGGGCCUGUCAUGUGCGGCGCGGUCGGCGUCGCAGCCAAGGAGCCACACCAUGGGACGCACACGGCGGGCGCGCACCAAAGGCGAAUCGGACAGUCGGAGGAUGCCUCUAGAGGGCGUCUCCCACGCAACGGCGUCCAAGGCUGCAAGCGGUAGGUCACCGCGCACGGCGCCCAAAUGCGUCCACGAUGCCACCUCGGCGGCAGCACUCCCAUGGCGCGCCGCAGGCACCCAAAAGGAGCCGAGGCGGGUCGGGCCGCGACGCUCGACUGCAGCACACACCGUCGCAACGGCCUGUGAUAAGGUGCGUCGCGCGACAAAGGCCACGGACGUGACGUGCGCCAGUAUAGGGCGAUCGGGCGACACUGCCGUGUAAAGCACGAGCACGCUACCGAUGGCCAUGCGGCGCGCGGCAGCCCGCCAGCCGCACGCAGGGCGCAGGUUGGGGUCCCAUCCGGCGCAAGCACACGGACGGCGCCAAAGGCUGUCGUCGGCGGCGACGCGCGCCCACAAGGUGCACACGCACGACACGCUGCCCAAGUCGACUGGCCGCAGGUGGCCAAAGACCAAAAGGAGGAUCUCGUCGGGUAGGUGCACAAUGCUGUCGUUGCUGCCGCCGCUGUUCCCAUGUUGCUGUCUGGGCGGUCCCGGCAUUGUCACGUUUUUUUCCAUCUCCAUAUUUUUGAUGCAGCGCAGGCAACAAAACCGGAAAAAAUAAAUGCAGAGAAGGAAA
rnacentral:lncRNA from 1 species